GACGAACGCUGGCGGCGUGCCUAAUACAUGCAAGUAGAACGCAGUGGGGAACGGGGGAGUAACGCGUAGGUCACUGCCUCAUCGCGGGGGGUAACAAAUGGAAACGAUAGCUAAUACCGCAUACUGUGAGAUGGACCUGCGUUGUAUUAGAUAGUUGGUGAUGUAAAGGCUCACCAAGGCGACGAUACAGAGCCGAACUGAGAGGAUGCUCGGCCACACGUGGACGGAGACACGGCCCAGACUCCUACGGGAGGCAGCAGUAGUGAAUCGUCGUCAAUGGACGGAAGUCUGACCGAGUAACGCCGCGUGAGUGAUGAAGGCUUUCGGAUCGUAAAGCUCUGUUGUUAGAGAAGCGGGAACGAACCAGAAAGGGACGGCUAACUACGUGCCAGCAGCCGCGGUAAUUC
rnacentral:rRNA from 1 species